UACGUAGGACGCAAGCGUUAUCCGGAAUUACUGGGCGUAAAGCGCGUGUAGGUGGUUUGAUAAGUCACUGUUGAAAGCUCCCGGCUAAACUGGGAGAGGUGCGGUGAGACUGUCAGGCUAGAGUACGGGAGAGGGAUGCAGAAUUCCAGGUGUAGCGGUGAAAUGCGUAGAUAUCUGGAGGAACACCGGUGGCGAAGGCGGCAUCCUGGACCGGCAUUGACGCUGAGGCGCGAAAGCCAGGGGAGCAAACGGG
rnacentral:rRNA from 1 species